CCGGCGACCGGCGCACGGGUGAGUAACGCGUAUGCGACCUGCCCGUUGCAGGGGGGAUAAUCGGGAGAAAUCCCGUCUAAUACCGCGUAACGCCGCGGGGCUGCAUGGCCCUGCGGCCAAAGGGAGCGAUUCCGGCAACGGAUGGGCAUGCGUGACAUUAGCUAGUUGGCGGGGCAACGGCCCACCAAGGCGACGAUGUCUAGGGGUUCUGAGAGGAAGGUCCCCCGCACUGGUACUGAGACACGGACCGGACUCCUACGGGAGGCAGCAG
rnacentral:rRNA from 1 species